GUGGUAAGAGAUUAAUGUGUAUUUAUUGAUAGGCAAAAGAAAAGUUCAGAGCAUGUUCCCCUUGCCCUCAGUAAUAUCUGAUGUAUGGAGCAAUUACACAAUGCCAGGAAUUUUAUUCAAGUUAUCUCAUUUAGUCUUCAUAAAAAUCUAGUGAGAUGGGCACUAUUAUAAUAUUCAUUUCAUAGAUGAGGAAAUUGAGGCUUAGAGAAAUUAAGAGCCUUUCCAAGGCGCUAUUAAGUUGGGAGUUUGGCUAACACCCAGAUGGGUCUGAUUCUCAAAACCAUAGUCAUAACUACUCUACUCCACUGAUCCUCGAGGCUUUCAGUUUCAUCAGAGAGGCAAGAUAAACACAGAUGCAACCACUAAGACUGUUCAAAAUACUCCAGUUUGUGGCCUGGCCCCUGGUACCUUUCUCCUACUCAUCUGCCCACUCUUGCCUGUGCAAUCUGCCCUCCAGCCAUGCUGGGCCCCUUGCAGCAUACUGAGCUCAUUCCUGCCCCAGCGUCUCUGCCCGGGCCAUUUCCUCAGCCUGGAACACUCUCUCCUGAGGUGUAUCCAUGGCUCUCUCCUUCCUUUCAUUUAGUUCUGUACUUACAUGUUACUUUCUCAUAGAGAUCUUUUUUGACCACCUUAUCUAAAAUAGCAUCCCCUGACUCUAUGUUUUAACUUACUCUGCUUUAUUUUCUUUGUUUUACCAUUACGUAACAGGAUAUCAAUUAUCUUUCUAUAUUUUCAUUUUUAUUGCCUGUCUCUUCCACUCGGUAGUAAACUCCAGGAAGCCGGAGACUUUGUGUGAAUCUCCAGCACCUAGAACAGUGCCUGGCACAUAGUGGCACUCAAUAUAUACUUGUCAAAUGAACAAACGCCUUUACUAUGUAUGUCAGUGUUCUUUAAGGUAAUUGACAUAUAUCGAACAGCAAUCCUGUGCCUGGUAUUUUGCCAGAUGUUUUUCAUUACAGUAUCUCCUAUAUUACUUUGCCACUGCCCUAUGGGAGAGGUGUAUUAUUUUAUUUUCAUUUUACAGACACAGAUAAGGAAAUCGAGUUCAGAGAGGUUAAAGAACAGGCUCCAGGCAGCUGGUGGCCGAGCAGGAUGUGGACCACAGCGUCUGACGUGGAGUCCAUGCGCUUUUCCACUGAAUCCGGAAUUGAGAAUCAGAAUGAAUCAGCCUCAGCUGAUCGCAGCGCCAUUGAAGACAAGUCCACAUGGAGCUGUGGGAAUGAGUUUCCUGUGGGACGGAAAGACGUGGGGAAAGCAAGCUGAGAAACCCACGGGGAGAGAGACACUGACCCAGAGAUGGAGAGCACACACCUAGAUGGAGACUCAGAGAGAGGCAGACAUUCUCCUGCCUGCUCUGGGAUUCUUCCUUAUGACGUCUCAGGAUGCUCACACAAAUCCCCUUUUAGCUUGGGCUAGGCUGAGGGCGUUUCUAUUCCCUGAAAUGGAAAUCCGUCAUUGGCCUGGUUGGAGAUGGAGACAGACAAUGGGAAGAAAGGCUCACUAGCAAUUAAGCAAAGAAUAUACACCUUGAAUCAAUGCUUGCAACUGACCCAGUGGUAAAUUUCAGGAGCUGGGCCAUGAAUUUUCCCCAUGACUUCAUUUGCCUGUAUUUGGCUUUGGAAGGCACUUCCCUGGUCUAAGGUCUCUUGAACCGUCUUCACGUUGGAUUGUGGCUGUGGGUCAGAGCAAGGCCAAGGCUCUGACUGACUCAGACACCUGUCAUUUAACAGCAGAGUGAAAUAGAAGCCCUGGAAUAUGCUUUCUGUCUUUGCAGGUGCAGCAUGUGCAGAAGCUGUCCAGGGCAAUGAUGAAUUUCAAGUUUCUUCCUUUGAAGGACAGGGCCCGGCUAAUGUGACACAUCCUUCCUGAAAAUGAUGCGUUUCUAGGUUUCUGGCUUAAGGGUAUGUGAUUUCUGCAGCGUAAACAUGGCCUUAAAGGGGGAAAAAUUGUUCUACUUAACUAUGCAGAGAAUUCCCAGUAGUUCCUUUAAUUUGGUUUUCUGAAUAGGGCACAUUUGCAUUCACUGACUUGUGGCUUUUUAGACUAGCAAAUGCAUCUCUCUCUUCUCUGUGUUUCAUUAAAUGAUUAGGUGGUCUCCAAGCUACGCUAACAUUAGCCAAGACCCUUGAGAUUUGGAGGCAAGUCCAUCUAGCCAGUUUGUUUCUUUUUCUUUAUAAUUUCCCUCCCACAUCUUUUUUUCAUUUUAAAUCCUUUCUGUCAAAUGAAGACUGGGGCUCACAAAUGUGUGUGGGCACGUAUGUGUGCAUGCAACAUGCAAUGCAACAGGGUGGGAAUAGGAGAGGAGAGAGGGAAAAGUAUACUAAAUCUUGCUUAGGAUAAAAAGAUUGCCUUGGUCUCCAGCUGAAAUUAGGAAAAGAGAAGGAGGUGAAUAUUGUUAUUUUACAACUUAAUUUUUUAUUCUUAGCACAUCACAUAAUAUCUGGGUGUUAGUGACACAUGUGACCAAAUGGCUGCUCCCCCAUCAAUAAGGAGAGGCAGUUCUGAGCAGGGAGUCUGUCACUGCCAUGGUCACGUGGCCCAUGGACCCCACCCCUGGAUGAGUGAGGCUGAGACGGGGUGCUGCUGGGGAAUUCCCAUUCCAGACUGCUCAAGUGAGUGAACACAGGACACGAAAAUUCUCCAUACUCCAGCAGCAAGCCGGGAUAUUCAGGUUCACCUAUGCGGUUGGACAUUUUGUUUGUUUCAAUCAUUUCCAACUAUAAAUAUGGCAGGCCAGGAAUCGUUGGUUGGGAAUGAAUUGUAAGUAAAGGGUUGAAGCUGCCCCCAAAGAACUCUGAAAUUUGACAGAAUUUCCUAAAAAUGCAAUAAAGGUUACAAAAUAACCCCACAAUGCUCUAAAAUUACUACUGGGCAAGACAAUAAUUUUUAAUCAAA
rnacentral:lncRNA from 1 species